GAUGAAGAACGUAGCGAAAUGCGAUAAGUAAUGUGAAUUGCAGAAUUCAGUGAAUCAUCGAAUCUUUGAACGCACAUUGCGCCCGCUAGUAUUCUGGCGGGCAUGCCUGUCCGAGCGUCAUUUCAACCCUCAAGCCCCCGGGCUUGGUGUUGGGGAUCGGCGAGCCUCCGCGCCCGCCGUCCCCUAAAUCUAGUGGCGGUCUCGCUGUAGCUUCCUCUGCAUAGUAGCACACCUCGCACUGGGAAACAGCGCGGCCACGCCGUUAAACCCCCAACUUCUGAACGUUUGACCUCGGAUCAGGUAGGAAUACCCGCUGAACUUAAGCAUAUCAAUAAGCGGAGGA
rnacentral:misc_RNA from 1 species